rnacentral:lncRNA from 1 species
AUGGAGUCCUAUCCCUCUCAGCUCUGGGCAUUAGCACAGGAAGUGGUAGCCUGCUGUCCACUUUCCAACUUGACUUCUGCUGUGCCUCAUCCAGCCCGCAGGGUUUCCCAUCAGCCCAAAAGCACAGCUGGAAAUCACUUGAUAGGAAUCUGCCCUCUGUCUGGAGGGAGUGGGGGAGUCUGCAAGGGAGGAGUGUUCAGAAUGCCUGGAGUUCUCAUUUGUGCUAAAAGACUGGAAGGCCUCUGCUGAAAGCUCUGUGACUCCUAGCUGGCCUCCAGGGAGCUGCACUCCUGUCGCCUGUGGUCAGGUGGAUGGAAAGGGGCCUGAUUUUACCCCAUCCCUGGGGCGUGGCUUCCUGCUGCACAGUCAGCUUCAGAUGCUGUGCCCUGUGCUGCUUCUGAGCACUGCAGGUGAGGUGCUGCCUCCAACUGACUGGAGCUUCAGCCUCUAGCAGUUCGUGUACAGGAGCCUCCCCACCACAUCUUUCCAUUUCUUUUACGUUGUUUAUGUGCAAUAGGGUCAAAGGUGCAAAACUAGG